UAAGUUUAAAUGAAUACAACUAUUGAAUAUAUAGUAUUAUUUGUAUUUUGUCCUUAUUCCCCAUUAACAUGAAUGAGAUUUGUUGCACUUUGUAGUGAUUAAACCAGAAACUAAAAGCACCUAAUUUGCUUUAUACAUAUGGAAACAACUGUUAAUGGGAAAUGGUCUUGCACUUUUGUGACUCCGUGUUUUCUAUGUGUUUAAUUACCUUCACUUAUGUUACUCUGCUUUAUUUUAAAUCAAUUUCUGAUUUAAAUAUUAGUAGCUAAUGUGAAUGUUUUGUCUUAAUUUGAGAUAUUGUAGCUGCUUCACUGAUUAAGAAUGAUUUUUGAAGUGCGUUUUCAAAGUCCACUGUUUUGAAGAUUUUUGAGCUAUUAUGAUGAGAUACCAUUUAAAGUUGGUGCUCCUGGUGCUUUCUCAGACCCAACAUCAGGUGACAAGAUGGCGCUAGAUCAAUUCAUCUCAUUGUGGAUUCAAGAAGAUACAAGUGCUCUAUCUAGCAUGCCUUUGAGUAAGUCCAAAUUAAGGCAUGAGCACUUGCCCAGUUAUGGACUGCAGGCUCCUACAUCAGAGCACUGUCGUCCUCCAUCUUGUCCUCCUGCACAUGUUGAGAUCUCUUUGGGGACCCAAAUGUAUGGCUACAGAAUUCAGCACCAGAAUUUGCAUCACAAAGUGCCUGUAGAGAAGUCAUCAAAACUAUCCCAGCUAUCCUCAAAAAGAUUUCUCAGUGCCGAGCAAAAAGGAUUUAGUAAUGUUCAAGCUCCCAGGCCAACAUAUUCAAUUAGUUAUUUGCAAGAUAUUCUAAUCGCGUAUCUCAGCUUCAAAUGCAAGCUAGAGGGUCUUGAAAGGAGGCAAGAAUUUGUGAAUCAUUUGCAUACUUGAUAUUAAUGUUCAAGCUCCCAGGCCAAUCAUUAGCUAUAAGGUAGUUGGUAUUUUCAAUUUUGAAUCGGAAUAUGCAAUGAUGAUGUAUACUUGAUAUUUGGUUCAUUUGUAUAAUAAUGUAUGAAUUUUUUGGAUGAUAUAUAAUAUUGUUAUCGUUGAUUUUAUCA